UUGUAUUUUAAAAUAGUCUCCAAAGCUCCAAGAAUUCAAAAGCUCCAAUUCAUGUACUAACCAAAGCUCUUCUUUCAUUUUUUUUUUUUUUUUUUUUUUUUUUUUCACAAUUCAAAUAAUCCAAAAUAAUCAAAUACCUUCCGCCUCAUGCUUUUCACAUUGAGUUCACCAAAUAUGUCAUAAUACAUAAAGUCUUACUUGAGAAUGCUCUGGACACUUAGCUAUGGAAGAUAGAAUGGAAAUUGCAACAACAAAAUCUUAAUUCUAAUAGAACACUAACAAUGCUAAACAAGCUUUAAUCAAAUUUAGAAAAACCUCAAAGGAAUUCCAAAGAAACAAUAAGAAAUCUUAAAGAAAUAUUAGAAUAAUUACAAAUAUAUCUCAAAUACAUCUCAAUUCAAUCUUAAUUUAAUCCUUGAUGAAAUGUUAUUGGACUUCAUUCAAACUUUAGGCCAAAAACUAAUUAUAUCUUAAAUGCUAAAUAAAUUCAACUAAAAUCCUAAACCUUAAAUCAAAUCUUGAUCAAAUCCUAAUCAAAUUCUAAUCAUAAAUCAAAUCCUAACCAAUACUAAAUCAAACCUUAUACCCUAAACCAAAUCCUAAUCAAAUCCUAACCCUAAAUCCAACUCUAAACCAAAUCCUAAACUCUAAAUCAAAUCCUAAACUCUAAAUCAAAUCCUAACUAAAUCUUAAUCCUAAAUCAAAUCUUGACCAAAUCCUAAACCCUAAACCAAACCUUGACCAAAUCCUAAACCCUAAACCAAACCCUAACCAAAUCCUAACCAAAUCCUAAUCCUAAAUCAAAUCCUAAGCAAACCAUAAUCCUAAUCCUAAAUCCUAAAUUAAAUCCUAAACUCUAAACCGAACCUUAAUUCUAAAUCAAAUCCUAAUCCUAAAUCAAAUAUUCACCAAAUCUUCA
rnacentral:lncRNA from 1 species